rnacentral:rRNA from 1 species
UUAGGGAGGAGCUUGCGUCACAUUAGUUAGUUGGUGGGGUAAAGGCCUACCAAGACUAUGAUGUGUAGCCGGGCUGAGAGGUUGAACGGCCACAUUGGGACUGAGACACGGCCCAAACUCCUACGGGAGGCAGCAGUAGGGAAUUUUCGGCAAUGGAGGAAACUCUGACCGAGCAACGCCGCGUGAACGAUGAAGUAUUUCGGUAUGUAAAGUUCUUUUAUUAGGGAAGAAUAAAUGAUGGAAAAAUCAUUCUGACUGUACCUAAUGAAUAAGCCCCGGCUAACUAUGUGCCAGCAGCCGCGGUAAUACAUAGGGGGCAAGCGUUAUCCGGAAUUAUUGGGCGUAAAGGGUGCGUAGGCGGUUAAAUAAGUUUAUGGUCUAAGUGCAAUGCUCAACAUUGUGAUGCUAUAAAAACUGUUUAGCUAGAGUAAGAUAGAGGCAAGUGGAAUUCCAUGUGUAGUGGUAAAAUGCGUAAAUAUAUGGAGGAACACCAGUAGCGAAGGCGGCUUGCUGGGUCUUUACUGACGCUGAGGCACGAAAGCGUGGGGAGCAAACAGGAUUAGAUACCCUGGUAGUCCACGCCGUAAACGAUGAGUACUAAACGUUGGGUAAAACCAGUGUUGAAGUUAACACAUUAAGUACUCCGCCUGAGUAGUACGUACGCAAGUAUGAAACUUAAAGGAAUUGACGGGACUCCGCACAAGCGGUGGAUCAUGUUGUUUAAUUCGAAGGUACCCGAAAAACCUCACCAGGUCUUGACAUGCUUCUGCAAAGUUGUAGAAAUACAGUGGAGGUUAUCAGUUGCACAGGUGGUGCAUGGUUGUCGUCAGCUCGUGUCGUGAGAUGUUGGGUUAAGUCCCGCAACGAGCGCAACCCUUAUUGUUAGUUACCAGCACGUAAUGGUGGGGACUUUAGCAAGACUGCCAGUGAUAAAUUGGAGGAAGGUGGGGACGACGUCAAAUCAUCAUGCCCCUUAUGACCUGGGCUACAAACGUGAUACAAUGGCUGUUACAAAGGGUAGCUGAAACGCAAGUUUUUGGCGAAUCUCAAAAAA